AGGCUCGUAGCUCAGUUGGUAGAGCGCCUGCCUUACAAGCAGGAUGUCAUCGGUUCGAGUCCGGUCGAGCCUA
rnacentral:tRNA from 2 species